rnacentral:rRNA from 1 species
UGUGUAGGCGGCGGCGUAAGUCGGAUGUGAAAGCCCUGGGCUCAACCCAGGAAGUGCACUCGAUACUGCGUCGCUCGAGUACCGGAGAGGUUGGUAGAAUUCUCGGUGUAGAGGUGAAAUUCGUAGAUAUCGAGAGGAAUACCUGUGGCGAAGGCGGCCAACUGGACGAGUACUGACGCUGAGACACGAAAGCGUGGGGAGCAAACAGGAUUAGAUACCCUGGUAGUCCACGCCGUAAACGAUGGGUGCUAGGUGUCGCAGGCUUUGACUCCUGCGGUGCCGUAGCUAACGCAUUAAGCACCCCGCCUGGGAAGUACGGCCGCAAGGCUAAA